ACUGAAUAGAUACCCGGGUAGUCCACGCCCUAAACGAUGUCAACUAGUUGUUGGGGAUUCAUUUCCUUAGUAAACGUAGCUAAACGCGUGAAAGUUGACCGCCUGGGGAGUACGGUCGCAAGAUUAAAACUCAAAGGAAUUGACGGGGACCCGCACAAGCGGUGGAUGAUGUGGAUUAAUUCGAUGCAACGCGAAAAACCUUACCUACCCUUGACAUGGUCGGAACCCUGCUGAAAGGUGGGGGUGCUCGAAAGAGAACCGGCGCACAGGUGCUGCAUGGCUGUCGUCAGCUCGUGUCGUGAGAUGUUGGGUUAAGUCCCGCAACGAGCGCAACCCUUGUCCUUAGUUGCUACGCAAGAGCACUCUAAGGAGACUGCCGGUGACAAACCGGAGGAAGGUGGGGAUGACGUCAAGUCCUCAUGGCCCUUAUGGGUAGGGCUUCACACGUCAUACAAUGGUCGGAACAGAGGGUUGCCAAGCCGCGAGGUGGAGCCAAUCCCAGAAACCGAUCGUAGUCCGGAUCGCAGUCUGCAACUCGACUG
rnacentral:rRNA from 1 species